CCUACGGGAGGCAGCAGUAGGGAAUAUUGCUCAAUGGGGGAAACCCUGAAGCAUCAACGCCGCGUGGAGGAUGAAGGUUUUAGGAUUGUAAACUCCUUUUGUGAGAGCAGAUAAUGACGGUAUCUCACGAAUAAGCACCGGCUAACUCCGUGCCAGCAGCCGCGGUCAUACGGCGGGUGCAAGCGUUACCCGGAAUCACUGGGCGGAAAGAGUGCGCAGGCGGGCUUGUAAGUCAGAUGUGAAGUCCGGUAGCUUAACUACAGAACUGCAUUUGAAACUAUGAGUCUAGAGUGUGGGAGAGGUAGGUGGAAUUCUUGGUGUAGGGGUAAAAUCCGUAGAGAUCAAGAGGAAUACUCAUUGCGAAGGCGACCUACUGGAACAUUACUGACGCUCAUGCACGAAAGCGUGGGGAGCAAACAGGAUUAGAUACCCUUGUAGUC
rnacentral:rRNA from 1 species